AGUGAACGCUGGCGGUAGGCCUAACACAUGCAAGUCGAACGGCAGCACAGUAAGAGCUUGCUCUUACGGGUGGCGAGUGGCGGACGGGUGAGGAAUACAUCGGAAUCUACUUUUUCGUGGGGGAUAACGUAGGGAAACUUACGCUAAUACCGCAUACGACCUACGGGUGAAAGCAGGGGAUCUUCGGACCUUGCGCGAUUGAAUGAGCCGAUGUCGGAUUAGCUAGUUGGCGGGGUAAAGGCCCACCAAGGCGACGAUCCGUAGCUGGUCUGAGAGGAUGAACAGCCAAAUGGAAAAGGAGAAAGGGGCCAGACUCCUAAGGGAGGCAGGAGGGGGGAAUAUGGGAAAAGGGGCGAAAGCCUAAACCAGCCAUACCGGGGGGGGGAAGAAGGCCUUGGGGUUGAAAAGCCCUUUUGUGGGGAAAAAAAAGAAGCAGGUUAAAACCCCGUGGUUCUGACGGUACAAAAAAAAAAAGCACCGGCUAACUUGGU
rnacentral:rRNA from 1 species